UUCCAGGGAUGGGAAUCGAACCCACAGUGUUCCGCUUACCGGGCAGAUGCCAUGUCCACUAGGCUACCCUGGA